AAUAUUUAUUUUACACGGAGCCAAUGCCAAGGUCAAAGCUAACGUUCAAAACAACAAAACUCUACGGGAAUUGAACACCUGGAAUCAAAUAUCCGGCUUAUAAUUGGCGUUUCUUUGAAUUUAUCUCUUGAUCUUUCUAUGUAAGUGUGAGACAUGGAUGCCUCAUCUCAAGCUGAAAGUACACAAACAAAAGAACUUCAAGUUUUGGAUUAUGAGCUUCAGCACUUGCGAGAUAACAGAAAGCUGUACCUAAAUCAGCCAAAUAGUAAUCUGUAUUUCCUUUGCAACAAAGCAGAAGCUUUGAGCCAUUUGCAAAAACAGAAGGAGAAGCUUACAGAUAUGAAAAAGAAAACUUGAGAUUUUCCUGUUUUUCUGUGUUUAUUCACUUGGAUUUUCCUGUUUUUCUUUGUUUCUUCAUAUCAUGUGUAAUGCAUUUUCAUUCUGCAAAUCUUAGGUAUGUGUAUGAUAUUCAAGAAUCAUUUUCAUUCAUAGUCUGUAUUCCAUUUUUAUAUAAUUUCAAGUAUAUGAUUAAUUUUGUCAAUGAGUAAACUAUUGUGUUGAAAACAAGUAUUGUAUGAUUAUGUAAACAUUUGAAAUGUAUUAUUGUCAACUGUUUUGUGAGACUUGAUGUACAUUGAAAAUAAAAAUAAUAAGAUA
rnacentral:lncRNA from 1 species